rnacentral:rRNA from 1 species
UGGGGAAUAUUGCACAAUGGGGGGAACCCUGAUGCAGCGACGCCGCGUGAGUGAAGAAGUAUUUCGGUAUGUAAAGCUCUGUCAGCAGGGAAGAAACAGCGUCCCAAGGACGCGGGACGGUACCUGACCAAGAAGCCCCGGCUAACUACGUGCCAGCAGCCGCGGUAAUACGUAGGGGGCAAGCGUUAUCCGGAUUUACUGGGUGUAAAGGGAGCGUAGACGGCUGUGCAAGUCUGGAGUGAAAGGCGGGGGCCCAACCCCCGGACUGCUCUGGAAACUGUGCGGCUGGAGUGCAGGAGAGGUAAGUGGAAUUCCUAGUGUAGCGGUGAAAUGCGUAGAUAUUAGGAGGAACACCAGUGGCGAAGGCGGCUUACUGGACUGUAACUGACGUUGAGGCUCGAAAGCGUGGGGAGCAAACAGG